rnacentral:rRNA from 1 species
UACGUAGGGAGCGAGCGUUAUCCGGAUUCAUUGGGCGUAAAGCGCACGUAGGCGGCUGGCCAAUCGGGAUCUCAAAUCCGGGGGCUCAACCUCCGGCCGGAUCCCGAACUGGCCGGCUCGAGUUCGGUAGAGGAAGACGGAAUUCCCAGUGUAGCGGUGAAAUGCGCAGAUAUUGGGAGGAACACCGAUGGCGAAGGCAGCCCUCUGGGCCGCAACUGACGCUGAGGCGCGAAAGCUGGGGGAGCGAACA